UACAGUUUACCAUUUGAUAAAUACACUUAUAGGAAUGACUAGAAAGGGGAUGAUUUUUUUUGUGGUGAGCUCUGAUGUCACAUUAAGGGGCCUAUCUAUUAUGCUGUGUAAAUGGAGUCUUGUCAAAAAAGGUGAUAAGGGUGAAGACACGCAGAGCUACUAGUAGCAGCUACUUGUCACAUCUACAAAAUAGACAAUAGUGAUUAUUGGCUUAGCUAAGACACUUCAAGUGUUUUAGCAGAGGCAAGUCUUAGUAUUGUCUAUGGCAGGAUAAUUUUUGUAGCUGCUACUAGUGGCCUUGUGUGUUUUCACCCUAAACGUUGUGUAAAAUAAACGGCAAAUUCCUCAACGUUUGUGCGCCUUCCAAAUUCCACAUUUGGCGGCAUUAGAAAAGUAGAAUGCAUGAUAAGGGCACCUUUUUUUCCUUUUGAUGUGUGGUGAAUUUGAAUGUUGUUUCUUUGCUGUAUUUUUACACAACAGUAAAUAUUCCCCGUAGUGUCAGUCAAUCGUUCAAGUGUCCAUUGCUAAUUGAUGUGAAAGGGAUAUGCUCUUCGUUAGAGAGGAUCUGGAUCAUUGGCUAUAGAUAUUUUUCAUUGUCCUUUUUAUUUGAAAGGGCUGAGAACUCUGCUCCCUGAAUAUCGCAUAAUCAUAUUUUAGCUUUGGUAGGGAGUCAUCAGUUACCAGAGAGAGAGUCUGAUAGUAGUAUAGCAAGCAAGUCUUUAUAAAGUUCAAGAAUGCCAUUGAAACAUACAUUUUAUCUUCUGGACCUGUUUUCCCAAUACUUAGCUUUUCUUGCUAACUGUUUAAACUUUUUUUCCUAGAUACAAUUUUUUUUUGUGGAGGAAGAGUUAUCUUCUAUGAAAAGAAUGCUGUCUUCCAUCUCUAAAAGUCAUUUUGGAGUACACAAGCCUGGCCCACAAAAGUUUUGGAAGGUCGAAGAGGCUAGAACAUUACGGGUGGAUGGAGCCAGAGCAUAUCUAAUAAUGCACAGCUAAGACUUCAUGACAGAACAGUUAGAUGAAUACAGGACUUUUUUCUAUGCUCUUUUCUAAUCACAUGGGCAACAAUGCAUAUGCUGGUGAUUGGUCUCUUCUCUAAAUUCACACGACUCCAUCUGGUGCACGUGAUAGGGUGAGUGCUUCCUUCUUUGCCUAUUUAAAGUGUUGAUUUUAAACAUUCAUGGUCUUGAAAAAGGUCCUAGAGGUGGACCGAAACUUCGGCCUGUUUUUAAUUAACUUAAAUAAAAUUAUGGUUUUAAAAUAACCUAUCCAAGGGUUCCGAGUGUGCACUCAUUCUCCUCUGGAAAGCUAUUGAUAAUACAUAUUUGAGUAGCACCUGGGUAUUUUGUUCAGUUCAGUGGGGUGCGGAAAAAACUAAUUAUAUAUAUAUAUAUA